rnacentral:misc_RNA from 1 species
UAGUUGAUGGGGAGGAUCCACCAAAGAUUCUACAUUUGAAUCCUCGGUUAAGAGGAGAUUGGAGUAAGCGACCGAUUAUUGAGCAUAACACCUGCUAUAGGAUGCAAUGGGGGACAGCUCAGAGAUGUGAUGGUUUGCCAUCCAAAAAUGAUGAAGACAUGCUGGUUGAUGGAUUUAUGAGAUGUGAGAAAUGGAUGCGGAAUGACAUUGUCGAUUCAAAAGAGUCCAAGACAACUUCAUGGUUCAAGAGAUUCAUAGGGCGCGAACAGAAGCCAGAAGUGACCUGGCCGUUUCCUUUUGUGGAGGGAAGAUUGUUUAUCUUGACAUUGCGUGCAGGUGUUGAUGGCUAUCAUAUUAAUGUUGGGGGUCGGCAUGUCACCUCAUUUCCAUAUCGUCCGGGAUUUACCCUCGAAGAUGCAACAGGAUUAGCUAUCAAAGGAGAUUUAGAUGUCCAUUCAGUUUAUGCCACCUCUCUUCCUAGCUCUCAUCCAAGUUUCUCUCCUCAAAGGGUGUUGGAAAUGUCGGAGAAGUGGAAAGCUCUUCCUUUACCAAAGAGUCCUAUUCAACUUUUCAUUGGGAUUCUUUCUACUACAAAUCACUUCGCAGAACGUAUGGCAGUGAGAAAAACUUGGAUGCAAUCAUCACCAAUCAAGUCUUCAAAUGUAGUAGUUCGUUUCUUUGUUGCUUUGAGCCCCAGGAAGGAAGUGAAUGCAGUGUUGAAGAAAGAGGCUUCUUACUUUGGUGAUAUUGUGAUAUUGCCAUUUAUGGAUCGCUAUGAACUUGUGGUUCUUAAAACUGUUGCUAUUUGUGAGUUCGGUGUUCAGAAUGUUUCUACUGCAUAUAUCAUGAAAUGUGAUGACGACACAUUUGUUAGGGUGGACACUGUCUUGAAAGAAAUUAAUGCCAUCUCUACCAAAAAGUCUCUUUAUAUGGGCAAUCUCAACCUGUUACAUCGACCUCUGAGAACUGGAAAAUGGGCAGUCACUUUUGAGGAGUGGCCACAUGUAGUAUAUCCUCCUUAUGCCAAUGGGCCUGGAUAUGUAAUUUCCAGUGAUAUUGCUAAAUUUGUCGUUGCUCAACAUGGCAACCGAAGCCUCCGGCUUUUCAAGAUGGAAGAUGUCAGUAUGGGAAUGUGGGUUGAACAAUUCAACAGCUCGAAGCCUGUCCAGUACUCCCACAACUGGAAAUUUUGUCAGUACGGAUGCAUGGACAGGUAUUACACAGCACAUUAUCAAUCCCCUAGACAGAUGAUCUGUCUGUGGGACAAGUUGGCUAGAGGUGGGGCUCAUUGCUGCAACUUCAGAUGAUGACUGCCUCACCACAAAGUCCCCACCAGGCCUUAAGAAGAUAACAGCAACUCAUGCUGCAUUAGCUGAUGAGAACGUUAUGUUCUUGUUCUUGUUUCCCCACCUAUUGCUGAUUCUUGUCCAUUUUUUUAAAGUGGGUUGUAGAGAUGGCUGGGUAUUGAGUUACACUCAUCAUUUUGGAAGAACGCGGACGGUGUCAUGUUGUAAUCGGGAAUGAUUGUUAAUUAGAUCAAACCCAUUUUGGCUUCAACUAAAAGCUGCAGAAAAAAAGAAAGAAAAAGUUGUACAAGUGUAGUUGUAUAUCUUGUAUUUCAUACUUUUGAUAUCAAAUUUAGUUGGCAAGUG